UUUUAAUAUCAUUUAAAUCUUGUUAAAACUUAAUUACCAAUUCUCUUCCGUAAUUUAGGUGGAAGAGCUGAGGUCUAAGCUUGCUGUUUGAGAGAGAGAACUUCAUCUGAGAAACAAAGACACCAAGGCUGCACGUCAGAACAAGAUAAUCUGCACUGUUCCCUCAUGACUGAUAGAAGAGGUCACAAAGGCAAGUCUACCUCUGUAUCAGAGACAUGAGGUCAGGGACAGGGCCUCAACUUUGUACCCCAAAUAAAGCUAAAGCUUUAAGGUAAACCUGAUGGACUUGGGAGCUUUCCUGAACCUACUCAAGCUAUAACCAGUAAGAUGCAGCACUGUGGAGCCUUGGGUCUGUCUCCAUGGGGGAAAGUCCAGAGGACUGAGGCUGGGAAAUCUCAAAUAUAUAUGGAGAGAAGGAACAUUGUAACUGCACAAGCCCUACCCAUGGGUUUGGCUGAGAAGAAGGCAAGAUGACGCACUGGAUGCCUUCAGGUAGAUGGAUUUCUGUAAAACUAUAUUAAUUUUGAUAAGGAAUACAUUUCUGCAGUUAUUGUUAAAACUGUAAAAGAAGAUUGUCUCCAUGACCCAGAAUUCAACUCAGAAUUUUUGCAAGAAAAUUUCAGUGGCUACUGCACACAGUGCUUGAGUUAACAUCAUUAGAGUCCUGGAGCAGGUAGGAGUUAAACCACUGUAAAUUUCUUCAGCUCAAAAGACUUAUUUCAGCUCUUCUUUUGCUAUUGCAAAGAACUCACUUCAUAGUUAGAGCCAUUAAAAAAUACUAGAGAAAAAAUAUUUUGAAUGUCAUCAAUUACUUUUAGACUGUG
rnacentral:lncRNA from 1 species